CUACCGCCGACGCUUUGGCUAAGAUCAAGUGUAGUAUCUGUUCUUAUCAGUUUAAUAUCUGAUAUGUCCUCUAUAUGGGGAUUAAAUAUUAAAUGCAUUUUUGAGCAGUGGGGAGGUGAAAAUGGGGAACGCUCUCUUCACUCCUUGCAUUGACCUGGUAUUGUGCAGUGCCACCGGGAGCGAUUGCGCCAUUC